UCCCGGACAUGGAUGAAUCUCUUACAGAAGCUUGGACCCAAUUUCAGCCUCAAUGAAAGAGGAAGGAAAAGUGAACUGAUAAUGAAGCUAAGACAAUAAAGCCAAGAAGUACCUCCAGGACCAUCCCAGCCCCUUGUUUUACAGCCCACACAAUGGAGACCAAUGCCAGAGGCCAAGCAAUUCCAGUUUUCUUAUGUAAUCAUGAUUGUACACAGAGGACGAGACUUAGCUGAACCAAGAGAGUUUAUGCUAAACACCCUCGCUAACCAUUGAGAGAAAUCAUUCCUUGGGAAAAGAGUGGUAAGAAUCAAUUGUCUUAUAAUAAAUAGAAUAAUAAAGACAGAAAAACAUCAGACACACGUACAUUAAUGGUAAGCUCAAACACACAGAAUUUUCUUAUCAUUUUUGUGAUUGGCAAACUGCAUUCAAGACUUUGAAAAGUCCAAAUUUCAUGAUAUUUGAAAGUGAGUUUGAGGCUUUCUGCAUUUAGAAAUUCCUGUUUGACUUUGAGUCCUUGGUCUGAGAAAAGGCGUUUUUGACAACAGGAUAAUGUUCAGGUGCCUCGCAGCCUUGGGAACUUGAAAUGUAGAAUUUAUUUCUGGAUUUGGGCAAAUCUCCCUUAGUGUCUCCAGUUCUCCAUUUGAAAAUUACAAUAAUCAAACGUGGCAAAAAUACUACUGAGAAAUUAAUACAAAUUGCUAGUGAACUGACACUUUUCUCACCAUCUGGCUGCGGUUUCAGAUGGUUUCUGAUUCAAUGGGGGAAAACUUUCUGUUCUCAAGUUACACAAAAAGUGAAAAGAUUCCCAAACCCAGGAAAUUGGCAGGUGCAAAUGACCAAUCCCCAAAGCCUUUCAGUACUUUAUUCCCCUUUCUUUUUCUCUUUUUGUUCUUUCUCUGCAUCUCUGUCUCUAUCUUUCACUUUUUCCUUUUAUUUGUCCUUUAUCCUUAUCAAAAAUUCCUCUAUUUUCAGUUGAUAAUAGUCACAUAAAACACAUAGAGUUUUGAUACAUUGGUGUUUAAUUGUGAUAUAUAAACAUGCUAAAUCUACCUACAUACACAGAUUUAUUAAAAUAUAUAGGCCUACAGGGCAUAUUGGACAAAAUUAAAUAUCUACAUGCAGAUAUAGAAAUUAUUGGUAAAUAUGAUAGAAAAAUGUUGAUAUAGUAAAUUUCUGUGCCAAAUAUUUGAACAAUUCUCUGAGUAAUGCUCAGUGCAUUCAAUAAUGUUUUUCCUGCUUUUGUAUUUUCUUACCAAGCUCAUAGUGAUUCAGAAGGAGAAACGCAGCAAAUGACAAAAACAUAAACAUUAUGAAAAUCAUAGAUAUGAUUUCUUCAGCAAAAAAAACCCCACAUCUCACAGAAUUACUCAUUUGGGCCACAUUUUAAAGGUUAUCCUAAAUGUAUCUUGUGCAUUACAUAUUGUAAUUCUAACAUUAUCAACACCAUAGUUUUGCCUCCUCUGCUUAAAUAAUUCUGCAACUGUAGUUUUAAUUUACUGUGACUUGUGCUUACCUGAGGAAGGGAUGCCAAGGACGAUGAGAACCAGCAUAAAAUCUGGGAGCAUCGUGAUGUCAGUUUCAGAAAGACAGUUUCUUCCUUUUUAACAACAGAGCAUUUCCACUGGAAAAGGGGGUUUUGAAAAGAAAAUACAGGGGUUCAAAAUCCGAAGUGGAACCCAAGAGGACAGCAACACCUGGAGUGGAAUAAAACAAUCUCAACCCCUCUCGCCGAGUGUGCCGCUUCUCAAAGUGCACUUCAUUGAUUUGCAGUCAGCUGUCAGAUCGUUUGAUCAGAUUUCAUCUAGUUCAGUGCUGUGCACACCCAGAGGGCCCUUGAUAAAUGCAUGAUACAUCAAAUGAAUGG
rnacentral:lncRNA from 1 species